rnacentral:rRNA from 1 species
GACGAACGCUGGCGGCGUGCCUAAUACAUGCAAGUCGAACGCAGUGGGGACGGGUGAGUAACACGUGGGUAACCUCCCAUCAGAGGGGAUAACACUUGGAAACAGGUGCUAAACCGAUACUGAUGGAUGGACCCGCGGUGCAUUAGCUAGCUGGUGAGGUAACGGCUCACCAAGGCCACGAUGCAUAGCCGACCGGGGAGGGGGAUAGGCCACACUGGAACUGAGACACGGCCCAGACUCCUACGGGAGGGAGCAGUAGGGAAUCUGCGGCAAUGGAGGAAAGUCUGACCGAACAACGCCGCGUGAGUGAAGAAGGUUUUCGGAUCGGAAAGAUCUGUUGUUAGAGAAGCGGUAUCUAACCAGAAAGCAACGGCUAACUACGUGCCAGCAGCCGCGGUAAUUC